rnacentral:rRNA from 1 species
AGAGUUUGAUCCUGGCUCAGGAUGAACGCUAGCGACAGGCUUAACACAUGCAAGUCGAGGGGCAGCAUGAACUUAGCUUGCUAAGUUUGAUGGCGACCGGCGCACGGGUGAGUAACACGUAUGCAAUCCACCUGUAACAGGGGGAUAACCCGGAGAAAUCCGGACUAAUACCCCAUAAUAUGGGCGCUCCGCAUGGAGAGCCCAUUAAAGAGAGCAAUUUUGGUUACAGACGAGCAUGCGCUCCAUUAGCCAGUUGGCGGGGUAACGGCCCACCAAAGCGACGAUGGAUAGGGGUUCUGAGAGGAAGGUCCCCCACAUUGGAACUGAGACACGGUCCAAACUCCUACGGGAGGCAGCAGUGAGGAAUAUUGGUCAAUGGACGAGAGUCUGAACCAGCCAAGUAGCGUGAAGGAUGACUGCCCUAUGGGUUGUAAACUUCUUUUAUAUGGGAAUAAAGUUUUCCACGUGUGGAAUUUUGUAUGUACCAUAUGAAUAAGGAUCGGCUAACUCCGUGCCAGCAGCCGCGGUAAUACGGAGGAUCCGAGCGUUAUCCGGAUUUAUUGGGUUUAAAGGGAGCGUAGGCGGACGCUUAAGUCAGUUGUGAAAGUUUGCGGCUCAACCGUAAAAUUGCAGUUGAUACUGGAUAUCUUGAGUGCAGUUGAGGCAGGCGGAAUUCGUGGUGUAGCGGUGAAAUGCUUAGAUAUCACGAAGAACUCCGAUUGCGAAGGCAGCUUACUGGACUGUAACUGACGCUGAUGCUCGAAAGUGUGGGUAUCAAACAGGAUUAGAUACCCUGGUAGUCCACACAGUAAACGAUGAAUACUCGCUGUUUGCGAUAUACAGCAAGCGGCCAAGCGAAAGCGUUAAGUAUUCCACCUGGGGAGUACGCCGGCAACGGUGAAACUCAAAGGAAUUGACGGGGGCCCGCACAAGCGGAGGAACAUGUGGUUUAAUUCGAUGAUACGCGAGGAACCUUACCCGGGCUUGAAUUGCAACUGAAUGAUGUGGAGACAUGUCAGCCGCAAGGCAGUUGUGAAGGUGCUGCAUGGUUGUCGUCAGCUCGUGCCGUGAGGUGUCGGCUUAAGUGCCAUAACGAGCGCAACCCUUAUCUUUAGUUACUAACAGGUCAUGCUGAGGACUCUAGAGAGACUGCCGUCGUAAGAUGUGAGGAAGGUGGGGAUGACGUCAAAUCAGCACGGCCCUUACGUCCGGGGCUACACACGUGUUACAAUGGGGGGUACAGAAGGCAGCUACACGGCGACGUGAUGCUAAUCCCGAAAGCCUCUCUCAGUUCGGAUUGGAGUCUGCAACCCGACUCCAUGAAGCUGGAUUCGCUAGUAAUCGCGCAUCAGCCAUGGCGCGGUGAAUACGUUCCCGGGCCUUGUACACACCGCCCGUCAAGCCAUGGAAGCCGGGAGUACCUGAAGCAUGCAACCGCAAG